ACUUGAGACCGGGAGAGGUUCGGAGGUACUCCCAGGGUAGAAGGUGAAAUUCUGGUAAUCCUGGGAGGACCGCCUGUUGCGAAGGCGUCUAACUGGAACGGUUCUGACGGUGAGGGACGAAAGUUAGGGGCGCGAACCGGAUUAGAUACCCGGGUAGUCCUAACUGUAAACGAUGCGGACUUGGUGUUGGGUGGCUUUGAGCUGUCCCAGUGCCGAAGGGAAGCUGUUAAGUCCGCCGCCUGGGAAGUACGGUCGCAAGACUGAAACUUAAGGAAUUGGCGGGGGAGCACCACAACGCGUGGAGCCUGCCGGUUUAAUUGGAUUCAACGCCGGACAUCUCACCAGAGGCGACAGCUGUAUGAUAGCCAGGUUGAUGACUUUGCUUGACUAGCUGAGAAGUGGUGCAUGG
rnacentral:rRNA from 1 species